CUCAGCUUGUCCUCAGCACACACUCACUACUCAGUACUCUCACUACUCACACACACAACACAGCAAGGCAAGAAGACUCAUUCAUCGGUUGUUUUGCAUCGGAACUGGAGCUGAGCUGUAGUUUCCUAGAUCUAUAAAGAUCUAGAUUUUAAGAUCAGGACCCUCUUCCCCUCCAUAGGUCUCUGACGAGAAAAACAGCCCAGGACAGGAAAAGUAAAAGAACGCGUCGUGAAGUCAAGUGGGGGACAGUCUGAGAAGUUGAAUUUCAAGAAGUUUGCAGACAGAGAAGUCUUUGUGACAUCCGGUCCAAUCAUGCUGCCUAAGGAAAACGUUGCCAAGCAGGUGUCUCAAAAGUUCUCGCCGUACCUGCCCUCAUUUCAGGAUGUUUUUGAUGAAGAAUCUUUUUACAUAUGUGCUUUCCUCAUCACGAUGGUAGCGUUUAUUGGGGCAUUUAUGGCCUCUCGAUAUGUUAACCUUAAAGAUGCGGGUCAUCUAGAUUAGCAGUUUCUUUCCUCUAUUCCUCUUCUUCCUCUGAUCAUAUCACUGCUCAUGCUUUUGGCUGUUUACAUCCUCCUACUAUUUUUUCCCAUUUGUACCUUUUUUUUUUGUUGUUGUGUAACGGCAAUUGUGGUGCAGUUUGUCGAUAUACUUGACUGACUGGUAUGUAGAAGUUUAGGGCUUGAAUUUGAGUGGGUCCGAAUAUAUGAUGACUCACCCUUUUCGGAUGCAAUUUUUUUGGUUUCUCAGCCCAGUUUCAUGGGAGUGGUAUGGGGGGUGGUUGACACGUAUGCACAUGCGUAAAUUGCCUUUGAAAUUGACUGAAUGGACUGCGGUAUGUUUUUAAACGGAGGUUAAGUUUUUUUUUAAUUUAUCUUAAAAAUGUGUUCUUGCUUUUUUUCUUGCUUUGUGCAACCAUUUUGGACCGUCCUUGUUCUGUGUACUAAUGCAGGGAUCACCAAACUUUUUUUUAAAAGGGCCGUAUAACUGGGAGAAUACCAAGGGCAGGCCUAAUAACUAUAUCUUAAGACAAUACACAAUUAAAUGAAUCCAUUUUUUUAUUACAGCAAUGAACGUAUUAAUUUAUCAAUACACUAAAAAUAAAAAUAAUAAAACUCUCAAAAACAGAAAAA